rnacentral:rRNA from 1 species
GAUUACAAAGUACCGUGAGGGAAAGGUAAAAGCACUUUGAAGAGAGAGUUAAAGAGGACGUGAAACCGAUAGGGUGGAAACGGAUCGAGCCGACGUAUCUUGCUCGCAUUCAGCCGUUCGGAUGGCCUUUCGGCGUCGCAACGGGUUCGCGGAUUGCGGGCUUUGUGGCGCUGUGGGGUUGUUUGAGCGGUGCAUUUGCGGGCGGAGUGCGCCGAAGCGUGCUGGCUGGUGGUUGAAUCUCGCGAUUGAGGCUACUCCUCGGAGUAAACCCCGUUGCGGUGUGACGGCUAUUCGGUUGGCAUUCUUUGUGUUCGGGGCAUGGCCUACGUGUGGCGGCGUGAUUGGUUCGGCAUCAGGUGUCGGUCGCUUGCGACACGUGCCUGUUUGUCGGUCCGGUUACGUUGUUGCACUCUUGCCCCGGGCUUCAGCGUAAAGUUUGGUCAUCGAUCCGACCCGUCUUGAAACACGGACCAAGGAGUUUAGCGUGCGUGCGNAGUUAUUGNGGUGUUGAAAACUUAGUGGCGUAAUGAAAGUGAAGAUAUUUCCUUGAGUUGUKGAUAUGCGAUCCGGUCGGUYUCGCCSGGCCGGCGCAGCAUAGCCCCGCUCCCGUUGCUUGCAAUASGGCGGAGGUAUGAGCAUGCGCGCUGASMCCCGAACGAUGGUGAACUAUGCCUGAGCAGGAUGAAGCCASAGGAAACUCUGGUGGAAGUCCGAAGCGGUUCUGACGUGCAAAUCGAUCGUCUGACUUGGGUAUAGGGGCGAACGAUUAAUCGAACCAUCUAGUAGCUGGUUCCYUCCGAGGAAAU